UGAGGGGAUAUCUCUGCCCCUCCCCCUCUAUAGAUUGCGCCUAAAUACCUCUCGUCUUAGUUUUGCCGAUCGAUCGAUCUGGGUCUGAGCGCUCAGCCGCAGCCGCCUCGCUUAUUUUAUCUUCCUCCCCCCUUCCGUUCUCGGAAUCCGUCCUAGGGGAAACUCGUCCGCAAGUCAGUAAGUCAGUCAGUCAGUCCGUGUGAUGGUUAAUUUUGCUAUGAAUUGGUCUCUGGUACCCGUACCGUACUCUCAGUUGAUGUUUAAGGUCGUGAUGAUGAUGGAUUAUUGGUGAUUUUUGUGUGGUGAUGAUGAGGAGAUUGCAACAGAUCUCUGUUUUUUGGUUUCAUCGAAAAGUAAAAUGAUGCUGGUUGUUAUCAUCCUCUAUCCAUGAACGAUUGAAUUCUCUGUCAGAUUAGAUCUCUCCUGCAGUGGCAGGACUAUUAUCUCUCCCUGUCAUCCUGUUAUUAAUUGAUUAUGAUGAAGUACAGUUUGGAAGAUGAUUAACUAGUGAUUGUACUUUCAUCUUCUGAGGUUUUUGCGUGGGGAAAGUGAGGUUUUGUCUGGGUCGCGUAGUGGAGCGGAAAGUUUAUACUGGAUUUGCGAUCUACCCUUUUAAUCCGGGGGAAGCGUCAAUAUGGGGUAAGCAAUGGUGUCAGUUCCCCAACCAUGGGGUGUCAUGCCCUGUCUGGUGCUGUUUUGGAUCCACUUUCCUGUCAGUGUCUAGUGGUUGCGUUGUCUUUAAGCUAUCACUGUGUCUGGCUCUGCUCAUGAUUUUUUUGGCCCGUGCUGGUAUGGUCCAUAUACAUCUUCGUUUUUUGUGAUUUAUUUUUGGAUUGCUGUUGUGAUAGCUCUGUAACUAGCAAGGUUGACACUGAAUUUUCUGCUGUUAGACACUGAAUUUCAAUCCCCACUUGUGCAGUUAGUAUUUUUGGGACGGAGGGAGUACUAUAGUGUGCCUUUUGUGCUUAAUCACCAGAAUUAAUAGUCUGGGACGGCGUAGCAUUACUGUUGCGUCUGUGGGGGCGUCUAGAUGAGGAUAGGAUAGAACGUUCAUGUGCAGCACAGUUGGCCGAUGGGAUGGAAGGGAAAGACAGAGCACACUGGCGGGCUGCGGAGAGUUUAAUCCGGUAGCUGUGUACUAGUUUAAUUUUAUUGAUUUAUGUGUGGUACAUGGGCGUAGGCUAUUUUUACUGCAACGACCCGUGACCUGUGUGUCGGCCCCGCAGAGGCAUGUGCCGAAGGGUCGCCGUCAGGUGUCAAUCCGAUCAGGUGCGCGCUCGCGUGCUCCAGUUUUUACUGGCUGGUCAAUGCUGCUAGUCUGCCGGAGGGCACUGUGUCGCUUGCCUGUGUCAGUGUCCUCCGCCUGCCUUGUCUAUCCGAACCCUGUGCUCGCUCUGGCCGUCGUCCAGAUGGCGCGCCAGCGGCUCUCGGCCGUACGUUCGCGCGCAUGGGAGAGAGAAAGAGAACGACCCUGCUGCACAUGCUCUACCUGCCUGCCAUGCCCUCUCCUCCACCAGCGCGCCACGCCAAAAGAUAGGAGGAGAAGAUAAUCAUCAUAUCUAAAUAAACCCACGGUGGUAAUCAUUCUCGUGCUAAUCUUGGCUUAAAAGUUUGUCGUGUGGCCUCCCAGGUCCCAGUGCCAGCAAGAGAGAUCUGCUCUAGAAUGAUAUAAACACUGUUGGAGAAGCUCGCCUUUUUUGUUUUGUUUUCACUCUAAAUGAUUUAAAAGCUGUAGGGGAAGCUCGCCUUUUGUUUUGUUUUGUUUUCUUAUACGUGUUGCCUAGGCGAGACGUAGAUGCAGAUGAUGCGCGCCGUCCAAGGUGUGGACGGUGCGGGCGAUGGAUAGGUACCACGGCCAUUAUUUGUCUCGAUGAUAUGAUGCGUAGGGGUUGGGGCAUCGUAUCCUGUUGCGCGCUUUUCUAUUUUUCGAGCAUCUGUGCCGAUCGAGGGGCUAGAUUAUAUUCUCCCAUCCAACAAUCCCUGUAGAUGUGUUGAUUGAUCGGCAGCAAGAUAUUUGGGCCUCCGUUGAUGGCCGGUGCCGGUGAGCUACCGAGGGAAGUGGGUGGGAACGGACGGCGAGCGAGGAAACUCCUUGGGUGUCAGAUGACCGGGUUUCCUCUUGAUCAUGAGAUUUCAAAUUCCAAAUAGUAUUUCAAAAUUGUUGCACGUAGAGAAGUAUAGAUGUGUCUAUGGAGGUUUCUUGAUCUUGUGCGACAAGGGUUCCAUAUGACCAAUUGUCCAAGUUUAGCAAAAGAUUACAUUUCUAUGUUUGAAAUAUAAUGGAAAGGUAAUCUAGGUAGCAGGUGCAAGCUUAACUUACGUUUUGAUAAAAAAAUAUGUGCGGCCUUGUGCGAAAUCACAAAACGUACUUCUGCAACACAAGUUUAUGUGNNNNNNNNNNNNNNNNNNNNNNNNNNNNNNNNNNNNNNNNNNNNNNNNNNNNNNNNNNNNNNNNNNNNNNNNNNNNNNNNNNNNNNNNNNNNNNNNNNNNNNNNNNNNNNNNNNNNNNNNNNNNNNNNNNNNNNNNNNNNNNNNNNNNNNNNNNNNNNNNNNNNNNNNNNNNNNNNNNNNNNNNNNNNNNNNNNNNNNNNNNNNNNNNNNNNNNNNNNNNNNNNNNNNNNNNNNNNNNNNNNNNNNNNNNNNNNNNNNNNNNNNNNNNNNNNNNNNNNNNNNNNNNNNNNNNNNNNNNNNNNGGGCGACCCGGGGGUGACUAGGGUUUCCCCCAGGCGCCGCCACCCCUCCCCCCAGCCUCUCCUCCCCUUGCCGCCACCUGAGGGACGCCAGGCAAGCCAUGGCGGCUACCGAUGAAGGUGGCGGCGAGGCCUCUUGUCGCUUCGCUCACCUCGCGAAGGACCCCAGACUCCAGGACGGCGAGGCAGUGCUGCCUCCGCGGCAGGCGACACGCGCGGGAUGUGGUGGCCAGCCUCCUCGGCUGCUCAGGGAGCGCGGAGCCGGCGGGUGGUGGUCGUGGCGCGGUCUUCUUCCGCUCUAGAUCUGAAGGUCGGGUUCUCCUCCUCUGCUCACUCCUCCCCUCCCGCUGUGUCCGCCCGGCAGCUUUGGCUGCAAGGCCCGGUGCUGGCGGGGUGCUGGUGGCAUAGAUCGAGUCCGGGGGAAACCCUUGGCCGGUUCUCCGACCACGGCGGUGACGACGCGUGCAUCACCUUUCUUCUUCGAGGCGCCGCUGAGGACUCCUCUAUCCAUCCCCGUCCCAGAUCCCGGGUGAAAGCCCAAACUCGUCUCGGGUUGGGCGGCGGCGGCGCCCUGCGCGCUAUUCCCUCCUUGGAGGCGCCGCCUUGGGGUAUCUGGUUCUCCGGGGGAGUGGCCUCGAGGUAGGAGAGUGCCCGGCGGCUGCGUGUCCACAGCGGCUUGCCGCCCCGGGUCUUUGCAGCUUGCUUCUUCGACCACCCUCAGUGGCUUUCCCUCGCUGUUCUCUGGUGGCCAAGGAAGAUGGUAGUGUAGCUUGUGGGUGUGCCUACAGCGCGGUGAGGACCGUGAGCUAUGCCUACUUUGGGUUUCGGCCGACGCCUGCUCUAGCUCUCGGGUGAGCGCCCAACAAUCCGACGGUCCGGCGCCUUCGAGCCUAGCGAGAGGAAAGGGUUCUUCUUCGGCGUUGGAAGACAGGUGUUCGUGAUCCCAAUCCCUUGAUACGGUUGCUCUCGGUGCUUGCGAGCCAAAGUCUGAUCCUCGAGGCUACUCUGUUCCACGUUCUUGGUGCCGAUGUGCAGCGGGCUCCCACAUUACUUGCAGGUUUUCAUGGAUCUUCUUUGUGUGCAGUAGUGUGCGUUGUGUUAUUAGCUGCUUAUCAGCUCCCUUGUAUCUUUUGGUCGCUCAUGCUUGGUGGCUUUGUGUAAUCCUGGCCGGUUGAUGGCUUUGUUAAUUCAAAGCCGGGAACUUGGAGCCUUCAUUCUAAAAAAAUAGUUUAUGUGACUUGUACGGACAAGCUUGUCACAUAUGAUUAUUCCUUUUUAGAACAAGUCAAUAUUCCAUUUUUUAAAGGUAGGGAUUGCUCAAGGCAUGAUUACAUAUUCCAUGGUUUUCGAGACUUCAAAUUAUGAUUUUCGUGAUUACAAAAACACGUUUACCAGCCCUUUGGUCAUGAGCUGGGUUGGAGACGAAUCUAUAUUCUUAGAAGUAAAGAAAGAACUUUGACAUCCCAAACCUUGGAUUUUGUCUCAAAGAAUGAAUAAAAUCACUUUAUGAUAAGCCUCCUAGAUUGGAAGUGAGACGUUCCUCAUUCACGGUAUUUUUUUUGCUUGAUUUGGUUGCUACUUAUGAGCGUACACUAAAAGAUGCACACAAGGAUUCACAGACCAAAAGAAAACUGUUAAGAUUAAUUAAAUACUUAAUUAAGGGACAAUCCCUGCCUGUAUUAACCGCCAACGGAUGCUAUUUCGGCAACCGUCGCGCCGGUUCACAUACAGACGCCUCUCCAACGAGACGUCCUCCGUGUACCUAUAUAUGUAGAAUCAUCAAUGAAAGAGGAUAGUUCCAUUCAUUCGCUUUGGUUCUCAAUACGUUAUCAGCACCAAAGCAAAUGAAUGGAACUAACCUCAAUUGUGGGAACAUAAACACAUGGGCAGUAGAUCAUACAGAUCUCACAGUAAUAGAGAUAGUCUACACAUGGGCAGUAGAUCGAACUCAUCACCUUGUGUUUUCCUAAUAUAAUGAAGGAGAUGUUAUUGUCAAAAUUUUACAAGUUUGUUGUGGGGGAGAAAUCAAUCACGACCGCUGUGACAUGUUCAUAAAGAAUGUCAAUGUGAUAAACACAUACUCCCUCUGUAGCAUAUGUUGCACCCAAGAUAGUUUUCCAAAAUGUCUUGUACAUGAAAAACUUGGCAUACUCAUCUUGGUCAUCGAGACAUUGGGUUGAAACCGAAACUAUCAGCAAUUCCAAUAGUUUAUCAUUAUUAGAUGCUAAAUUCUAACACCAUUUGGAUUUUAUGUGCACUACAAGUGACACAGGGAAGCUAAUUUUAAGGCUCGCACACUUUAAAGUCUACGCUGAACCACUCAGACUCCUUGAAUGCAUCAAGUUGAGGUAAGUGGCUCUUCCCAUCCGUUGACUAGACUAUUCUGGUAUUCCAUGGUUCUAAAAGACAUAUCUACAUGAUGAUCUUAAGUGUGUGCUUUAUUCACACGAAACCAUUGGCUCAUUAUCCUGACAUCGAUUUCAAGCAAAUCGAAUGGAUAACAUUGCAGAAUUCUCCUUGAGUGCCUUCUUUUAUGGCCCUUGGAUUGAAGUUUAGCAAUUUGUCCUAAUGUCUAGACUCAAAAUGGUUUGGUAGAAUCCUUUAUCCAAAGAGUUAAGCUCAUUGCAUUAUCUUUACUUUGGAAUUGCAAUUUACCAACUUUACGUUGGAGUCAUACAGUUUUACACGCUCAUGACCAAACUGCAUACUAUUAUUCCCCUCUAUCUUUGAUACGUGGAAAUCUACCAAGUAUUUCCCAUCUGCGGUAUUUCGGUUGCAUACCGAUAUCACCACCCCAACAUACAUCAUUGGCCCCUCAACAUAUAGUUGGGAUCCAUGUGAGGAAUAACUGUAUUUUCGUCAAUACCUCAAGCCCCUCGCAUGGGGAGUUAUUUAGGCCAGUAUGUUGAUUCAAUGAGGAACAUUUUCAGGCAUCAGGGGGAGAUUUCAAGUACCAUAAAGAAUGCCAGGAAAUUAGUGGAAUGUUCAACACAUUUCUGCCUCAAAUCCACGUACUCAAAGAUCUGAACCAUGCGUUCAGAAGAUUUGCAACACAAUGCAAAUAACCUGCCAGAUUCAUUUACUGACUAUAAAGAUGUCAUACAAUCCUACAAUCCUAAAAAAUAUGCCGGAAAGAGUGGAGGUACCAACUAAAACCACUCAACUUCCCGUUCAAAGCAACAGGGGGAGAAGUACGACAAUAGCACAUCGGGAUUCAGCUUCUCGCAAGCAAGGAUAUCAAGGCUUGUGAAUCAGUAAAUGCAAGUCAACUUCAUGUUGACAGACACCUGAUGGGUAGUAUACACCCAGUGAACGGGAAACCUCCAUCAACCCAGGUCAUAGUGCACAAAAUGACUGGGACAUCGGAAUACCCGACUCAAUCGCAUUGGGAAAUCGCGAGCAGUCACUAUGGGUAACGAUAUCUCCAUCAACUAUAUAUUGAUAUAUAGAUUCUAGAGAAACAUAUAACCAGAAGUCUACAAUUGUCGACAUACAUUCCUCAACUAGAUUGAAAAAACCUUUCAAGUGAUUCAGAUCCAAAGACCAUGGCCGUGGCAAAGUGUGAACAACACUCGGACUGAACUCAAGCAAAGGGUAUAAUCUAGGUACAAAUGAUCUUGCUCAAUAAUGGAAAGGUAUUCAUAAGCAAUACCUACAUCAGUUUUCUUCUGGAAGCAGAAUUGAUAACAACGAGGUGGUGAAAUAAAGAGCAAGUAUUGUAGCACAAGGGUUUACGCAGAUAUCUAACUAUUCCCCAGAGGUGGAAUCUCUUUCCGAUAACUUAUAUCAUUGGCAGUACAAAAUCAUCUAUCUAUGCAGUUGAUAGAUGUAGUGCUCACAUAUCCAUGUGGAUCACUAGAUUCAUACACAUAUGAUUGAUUCCCGGUGGAAUCUCUCUUCUGAAUCGAAAUGCAAUACGCAACAUACAUUGUGUAAAAACAAUAAGUCACCAUAAGACUUAUUGUUGUCGGUACAUAUGGUACAACCGACGUAGUGAGUUACUUAUACACAAGGAUUACUCCUACAGUGAUGAUUAUCCAUGUUUGUGUCUCUGCAAUGAUGACACAUGUAAUCAUCUAAAUGACGGAGUUUAAAUGAAGGAUUUGUGUAAACCAAAAUAUCGCUCGUUACUACGACUUGAGCACCUUCAUUCAUACAUUAUGGUAUACUAUGUUGUCUAUAUCCAUAAUACAUUGGAGAAAUUCAUUAUGGACAAAUCUUAUCCAUCUAUAACUCUCAUGGUAGUUCAUUCUCUAGACGUAGAGAAAGAUCUAUUUAGACCAAGAGAUGAUGGAAAUGAGAUAUUGGGACUUAACGUUCCGUAAUGCCAUUGGAUCCACCAAACACAAUUGGUUGGUACUCAAGAAUAUCUUUCGAUAUCUCCAAGGCAUGAAACAUCUUGUCCUCGUUUUUUAGUUUCGGAGAAAUCUGAACACCAAUAUCAUUGGAUACAUCGAUCAUCCCCACUAUAUCAAAUCAUAGACAAGUUUAGUGUUCCUACUAGGUGUGGUAGCCCUCUCAUGAAGAGUCUUUAAAACAGACCUCAUGGCUAUUCACCAACCAUUAUCUCAACGAUAAUGUUUUUUGUGUUGCCCGGAUGCAAACAGGUUACAUAAUAAGCAAUAUCACUAUAUUGCAUAUCUUGCAAGUCAAAUCAUGACUGAUUUGGGUCUCUACCAACUUCUAUGUUUUGGUAUGUGACGGCUUCGAAUUUUGCAAGAAUCAGGGGGAGUAUCUUCCUGAAUUAUUCCUGUUGAAUGCAUCAUAUUAUACUCGUUUUCCCUUUAUGAGUUUACUUUUCAGGUUCUCAUAAAGGUUUUUGAUGAGGUAAUAUCAACAUGAGAUCAUGUGUCAUAUUUUCUGUUUUUCCCACCGGGGUUUUUAGGGAAGUAUAUACGAUAUAUUUAUUGUCCUCUAAACUCUAUGGGGUUUCUCGUAUUGAGUUGAAAGAGACAAUAACCAUUAUAUGUUGCACCAUUUUCUCCUUAUUUUUCCCACUGGGUUUGAAGCAGUUUUAGCAACAUAUUCUACACCACUCCUCAUAUUUUUCCCACAGGGUUUUUGGAGGAGACUCUUUCAAGAUGAUGAUGCUACCUGGACAAGCAUGGAUUAGGGGGAGUGUUAAAAUUAAUUAAAUACUUAAUUAAGGGAUAAUCCCUGCUUGUAUUAACCGCCGACGGAUGAUAUUUCGGCAACCGUCGCGCCGGUUCACAUACAGACGCCUCUCCAACGAGGCGUCCUCCGUGUACCUAUAUAUGUAGAAUCAUCAAUGAAAGAGGGUAGUUCCAUUCAUUUGCUUUGGUUCUCAAUAGAAACCCGUAAUACCCAGAUUCUGAAAAUCCCCCAUCCGAACGGUUGGAUGCAAAGGAGCAGAUAAGUCACAUAUAUAUGGCUAAAUAUCGAAUCCUAGCUAAGGAUGUUACUUGUAUGAGUAAUAAAGUCUUGCAAUCUUCAAUUCUCCAAACAAGUAACUUCUUGCAAUCUUUGCAUAACUUGGUCCAAACAAGUCCUGACGGGCAAACAACUUUUUCACCUCUCCAAUUCUCCACAAGCACUGGUGCCAUGUCAUAGCUGCUUCAGAUCACUACUUGGCUAUAUAAAAGCAGCGGCUCCUAUAAAUUGGCGGCUGGGACAUAUAUAUGCGUAGGCAAAAGGCAGAAAAUUGAACAGUAAAUCAAUGACAUCCAACGGAUCGAACACCUCUUGGCACAGUAGACACAAUAAUCAGGUCACUAAAUACAGUAUGAACCAGAAGUGCAACAAAAAUCACAGGAUACGAUAAUACCAAGUCUAGCUACAUGGUCUAGGGUUCAUAACGUGUAUAUUGUGGAUUCUACCCCUCUUCCUCUCAGGGUAGAACUUGGCAUAAGAAGCAAAAAAUGAAAUGGACGGAAACGUUGUGGUAGCAUAUGUGUUUUCAGCCUUGCAUUUCUGAAUAUUCAAAGACAUGAUAUAUCCACCAAUGAUCCACAUCUUCUCACCCUACUCGAAAAUGAAUCCUGUACAGAAAUGAAAAGCCAACGUAAGAGUCUGGUGUAUUAUCAGAAGUAAAAAAAAGGUUCAGUUACUUGACAAUGAAAAUCAAGACACCGAGACAUGGUUGGGUAAGUAUGAAGGAGAUUCGCUUUACCAUGUGCAACUUACCUUGACAUUAAUUUGGGGACAAACUUCCAUUAUAUCUCAUACAGGUAUUUCUAGCUGACAAUCUAAUGUGAAAAACAUCUAGCAAAACUGCUUCCAAAUGAAAAUGCCGAAAAAUGUCAAAAAUUCAUGGCAAAGGAAAUGUGAAAUAAGCAAUCAUUACAUACACUGCUAGAAAUGUUAUGUGUAUAGACUUAUAUUUUUGAAGAAAUUUUAUGUGAACUGUAAGUCUUCCUGGUACAGAAAUGGCAAAUAAUUUAGUGCUGAAUCACAAGGAAACCGAGCACCGAAUAGUUUAUCCCAUAAGAACAAGCAGCUGCUCAGGUCUAGGGAGCCACAAAAAUUGUUACCGAUUAGCACAAACUAUGUAUUAUUCAACAACACAAUAAAUGAAGGUACGCUUGAACUUACAUUUGAGCUUGAUCAGAGCCAAUCAAAAUGUGAAGGUACUGUAUCACUACUCUGAAUAAUCUAUUCAGAAAUUUGUGCUAGUGCCUACAAGACCAGAACUAAUCAGCAAGCCCACAAGUUGCGUCUUUCUGUUUCUUUCUGCAACACAGUUAAAAAUAAACAUCCUCUGCCAACAAAAGGGUUGUUUUUCCUUUUGCGCUCAGAUUUCCAUGCCUCAAACAAUCUGCAAUCCUUACAAAACUGUUCUUUCUACAUACUACUCCCUCCGUUCCAAAUUAAUUGACCUCCAUUUGUCUAGACAUGGAUGUAUCUAGAAAGUAAACAAGUAUAGAUACAUUCGUAUCUAGACAAAUGAAAGUCAAGUAAUUUGAAACGGAGGGAGUAAUUCACAAGUUUGUACUUCACUAUUUGCUUUGUUAGUUUCCGUUCCCACAUAUGGUUAAAACAAAGUUUCCUUCCCACACACAAAAAU
rnacentral:lncRNA from 1 species